rnacentral:rRNA from 1 species
AAUAGAUACCCUGGUAGUCCACGCCGUAAACGAUGGAUACUAGCUGUUGGGGGGCAACUUCAGUGGCUAAGCGAAAGUGAUAAGUAUCCCACCUGGGGAGUACGAACGCAAGUUUGAAACUCAAAGGAAUUGACGGGGGCCCGCACAAGCGGUGGAGCAUGUGGUUUAAUUCGAUGAUACGCGAGGAACCUUACCAAGGCUUAAAUGCAGACUGACCGAUCUGGAAACAGAUCUUUCGCAAGACAGUUUACAAGGUGCUGCAUGGUUGUCGUCAGCUCGUGCCGUGAGGUGUCAGGUUAAGUCCUAUAACGAGCGCAACCCCUGUUGUUAGUUGCCAGCGAGUCAUGUCGGGAACUCUAACAAGACUGCCAGUGCAAACUGUGAGGAAGGUGGGGAUGACGUCAAAUCAUCACGGCCCUUACGCCUUGGGCUACACACGUGCUACAAUGGCCGGUACAGAGAGCAGCCACCUCGCGAGGGGGAGCGAAUCUAUAAAGCCGGUCACAGUUCGGAUCGGAGUCUGCAACG